rnacentral:tRNA from 1 species
GCCCGCCUGGCUCAAUCGGAUAGAGCGUCAGACUCUUAGGACUUCUAGUCACAUAGAUAUCUGAAGGCUGCGAGUUCGACCCUCGCGGUGGGUU